GGGUUGUGAGGUUAAGCGACUAAGCGUACACGGUGGAUGCCCUGGCAGUCAGAGGCGAUGAAGGACGUGCUAAUCUGCGAUAAGCGUCGGUAAGGUGAUAUGAACCGUUAUAACCGGCGAUUUCCGAAUGGGGAAACCCAGUGUGAUUCGUCACACUAUCAUUAACUGAAUCCAUAGGUUAAUGAGGCGAACCGGGGAACUGAAACAUCUAAGUACCCCGAGGAAAAGAAAUCAACCGAGAUUCCCCCAGUAGCGGCGAGCGAACGGGGAGGAGCCCAGAGCCUGAAUCAGUGUGUGUGUUAGUGGAAGCGUCUGGAAAGGCGCGCGAUACAGGGUGACAGCCCCGUACACAAAAAUGCACAUGCUGUGAGCUCGAUGAGUAGGGCGGGACACGUGGUAUCCUGUCUGAAUAUGGGGGACCAUCCUCCAAGGCUAAAUACUCCUGACUGACCGAUAGUGAACCAGUACCGUGAGGGAAAGGCGAAAAGAACCCCGGCGAGGGGAGUGAAAAAGAACCUGAAACCGUGUACGUACAAGCAGUGGGAGCACAGAGCAAUCUGUGUGACUGCGUACCUUUUGUAUAAUGGGUCAGCGACUUAUAUUCUGUAGCAAGGUUAACCGAAUAGGGGAGCCGAAGGGAAACCGAGUCUUAACUGGGCGUUAAGUUGCAGGGUAUAGACCCGAAACCCGGUGAUCUAGCCAUGGGCAGGUUGAAGGUUGGGUAACACUAACUGGAGGACCGAACCGACUAAUGUUGAAAAAUUAGCGGAUGACUUGUGGCUGGGGGUGAAAGGCCAAUCAAACCGGGAGAUAGCUGGUUCUCCCCGAAAGCUAUUUAGGUAGCGCCUCGUGAAUUCAUCUCCGGGGUAGAGCACUGUUUCGGCAAGGGGUCAUCCCGACUUACCAACCCGAUGCAAACUGCGAAUACCGGAGAAUGUUAUCACGGGAGACACACGGCGGGUGCUAACGUCCGUCGUGAAGAGGGAAACAACCCAGACCGCCAGCUAAGGUCCCAAAGUCAUGGUUAAGUGGGAAACGAUGUGGGAAGGCCCAGACAGCCAGGAUGUUGGCUUAGAAGCAGCCAUCAUUUAAAGAAAGCGUAAUAGCUCACUGGUCGAGUCGGCCUGCGCGGAAGAUGUAACGGGGCUAAACCAUGCACCGAAGCUGCGGCAGCGACACUGUGUGUUGUUGGGUAGGGGAGCGUUCUGUAAGCCUGUGAAGGUGUGCUGUGAGGCAUGCUGGAGGUAUCAGAAGUGCGAAUGCUGACAUAAGUAACGAUAAAGCGGGUGAAAAGCCCGCUCGCCGGAAGACCAAGGGUUCCUGUCCAACGUUAAUCGGGCAGGGUGAGUCGACCCCUAAGGCGAGGCCGAAAGGCGUAGUCGAUGGGAAACAGGUUAAUAUUCCUGUACUUGGUGUUACUGCGAAGGGGGACGGAGAAGGCUAUGUUGGCCGGGCGACGGUUGUCCCGGUUUAAGCGUGUAGGCUGGUUUUCCAGGCAAAUCCGGAAAAUCAAGGCUGAGGCGUGAUGACGAGGCACUACGGUGCUGAAGCAACAAAUGCCCUGCUUCCAGGAAAAGCCUCUAAGCAUCAGGUAACAUCAAAUCGUACCCCAAACCGACACAGGUGGUCAGGUAGAGAAUACCAAGGCGCUUGAGAGAACUCGGGUGAAGGAACUAGGCAAAAUGGUGCCGUAACUUCGGGAGAAGGCACGCUGAUAUGUAGGUGAAGUCCCUCGCGGAUGGAGCUGAAAUCAGUCGAAGAUACCAGCUGGCUGCAACUGUUUAUUAAAAACACAGCACUGUGCAAACACGAAAGUGGACGUAUACGGUGUGACGCCUGCCCGGUGCCGGAAGGUUAAUUGAUGGGGUCAGCGCAAGCGAAGCUCUUGAUCGAAGCCCCGGUAAACGGCGGCCGUAACUAUAACGGUCCUAAGGUAGCGAAAUUCCUUGUCGGGUAAGUUCCGACCUGCACGAAUGGCGUAAUGAUGGCCAGGCUGUCUCCACCCGAGACUCAGUGAAAUUGAACUCGCUGUGAAGAUGCAGUGUACCCGCGGCAAGACGGAAAGACCCCGUGAACCUUUACUAUAGCUUGACACUGAACAUUGAGCCUUGAUGUGUAGGAUAGGUGGGAGGCUUUGAAGUGUGGACGCCAGUCUGCAUGGAGCCGACCUUGAAAUACCACCCUUUAAUGUUUGAUGUUCUAACGUGGACCCGUGAUCCGGGUUGCGGACAGUGUCUGGUGGGUAGUUUGACUGGGGCGGUCUCCUCCUAAAGAGUAACGGAGGAGCACGAAGGUUGGCUAAUCCUGGUCGGACAUCAGGAGGUUAGUGCAAUGGCAUAAGCCAGCUUGACUGCGAGCGUGACGGCGCGAGCAGGUGCGAAAGCAGGUCAUAGUGAUCCGGUGGUUCUGAAUGGAAGGGCCAUCGCUCAACGGAUAAAAGGUACUCCGGGGAUAACAGGCUGAUACCGCCCAAGAGUUCAUAUCGACGGCGGUGUUUGGCACCUCGAUGUCGGCUCAUCACAUCCUGGGGCUGAAGUAGGUCCCAAGGGUAUGGCUGUUCGCCAUUUAAAGUGGUACGCGAGCUGGGUUUAGAACGUCGUGAGACAGUUCGGUCCCUAUCUGCCGUGGGCGCUGGAGAACUGAGGGGGGCUGCUCCUAGUACGAGAGGACCGGAGUGGACGCAUCACUGGUGUUCGGGUUGUCAUGCCAAUGGCACUGCCCGGUAGCUAAAUGCGGAAGAGAUAAGUGCUGAAAGCAUCUAAGCACGAAACUUGCCCCGAGAUGAGUUCUCCCUGACCCUUUAAGGGUCCUGAAGGAACGUUGAAGACGACGACGUUGAUAGGCCGGGUGUGUAAGCGCAGCGAUGCGUUGAGCUAACCGGUACUAAUGAACCGUGAGGCUUAACCUUACAACGCCGAAGGUGUUU
rnacentral:rRNA from 1 species